UACGGAGGGCGCAAGCGUUGUUCGGAAUCAUUGGGCGUAAAGCGCGUGUAGGUGGCUUGGCAAGUCGGGUGUGAAAUCCCGGGGCUCAACCCCGGAACUGCAUUCGAUACUGCCUCGCUAGAGUCCCGGAGAGGAGGGCGGAAUUCCCGGUGUAGAGGUGAAAUGCGCAGAUAUCAGGAGGAACACCGGUGGCGAAGGCGGGUCUCUGGGCCGAUACUGACGCUGAGGAGCGAAAACGUGGGGAGCGAACAGG
rnacentral:rRNA from 1 species